rnacentral:rRNA from 1 species
UACGUAGGGUGCAGGCGUUAAUCGGAAUUACUGGGCGUAAAGCGUGCGCAGGCGGUUUGCUAAGACAGGUGUGAAAUCCCCGGGCUUAACCUGGGAACUGCGCUUGUUACUGGCAAGCUGGAGUGUGGCAGAGGGGGGUGGAAUUCCACGUGUAGCAGUGAAAUGCGUAGAGAUGUGGAGGAACACCGAUGGCGAAGGCAGCCCCCUGGGCUAACACUGACGCUCAUGCACGAAAGCGUGAGGAGCAAACAGG